ensembl:lncRNA
CUGCAGUCAAAGAGAGUGGAGCUGGUCUGUGUCUGGUUUAAUGUUGACGCUUCAACGGCGUUCUUUUUGACGAGGAUGACGCAGACUCCAGUUUUUCUCCAGCACAGUCAAGGUUCCUAUCACUCAUCACAGAGAAUGAGCUUAAAGAGGACAACACUGUGUGGAGGGUGCUCUAGUGCAUCAGGGUGGAAGAUGGGGUGAAUUCCUCAAGAACUAAAAUCUGCAGUCGUUGCAGAGAAUGGCCUUCAGUAAAAGUCAUAAAGCUGCUCGGCUGUAUUAGCAUGCUGGGUUCAGGGAGUUCUGGAUGGACAGAAGCAAAUGUGGAUCAGCACCACUGCACCUGAUUCUGGGAUGAACGUCUUCAGUUAUGCCCACCAGCUGUAAAUCCGUUGCGUCACCAAAGCUGCAGCCGGCUGAAUGGAUGUUUCUGUGAAGGAUAGACCUGCAGAUUCUCCAGAACUAGUGUUGGUGGUCAGAGUUCCUGAAGCUGGUACGUAUUCCAAGCUGUUCUUGGCUAGAAUGGAGAUUGACAUUUUGCCACUUUAGUUACAAAAAUAGUUUUUGGAACUUUUUUUUUAAUAAUUAUCACUAUUUGAACAUUAAAAAAUUGGGACACAUUACUUGUGUAUAUAUGUGCAAGUUUGUACUCUGUGCUUUAAAGUCCUGGGGUGUUGUAGAUGUGUCCCCUGUAACUUUGACUGUAGUGAUUAAACUCUUAAUUGGAUUUCUCCCCAAAAAUUGUACAUGCGCUCGCUAUCAUAUGUAUUUUUCUCUUUUCCUUUUAAAUGCUUGUGAAGUUGCACAGUUUGGAUUAAAACAUGAAGGGGAAAUGUUCGCUGUGAUGAUGAUGAUUUUCCUGCCAUUCGUAGUUUCCACCAGAGGUUUAAACACCAAAGAUGGUUCAAAUCUUCCUUGGAUGUCUGAGCGAACAUUAGAGGAUUGUAGCUCUGCUUUUGAACAUCUUUGUUUUAAGAACUAACUUGAUUUUUAUUCUCACUUCAGGGCAUUUAUUGCCACGGAUACAAGGCUAAUCUGUGGAUCCUCCAGACUGUUAAAGCUGGUAUGUACGGUAACUUUAUGAAGUCUUAAGUCUUUGAAGAGUUUGUCGCUGUGAUGAUGAUUUUCCUGCCAUUCGUAGUUUCCACCAGAGGUUUAAAUGCCAAAGAUGGUUCAAAUCUUCCUUGGAUGUCUGAGCGAAUAUUAGAUUGUAGCUUUGCUUGUGAACUCUUCUCUUCCAGAGCUAACUUUAUCUCAAUUUAUCUCACUUUCAGGCUGGACGUCAACGUUGAUGGACCUGCAAUCAAAGAUAACUCAGCUUUUUUUUUUUUUUUUUUUUUUUUUUUUUUUUUUUUUUUUGCCCUGCUCUUUGAAAGUUGGCUGUAGUCUUAAACAUUAAUUUAAUGUUAAACAAAAAACAAGCUAGCAGUUUUUUGUGAUUAUAAAUGAGUUGUUCUUAGACUUAAAAUGACUGUUUGUUCUGUACAAGUAAAUAAAAAAAACAAUAGGUGUGGA